rnacentral:rRNA from 1 species
AGGGCACCACCAGGAGUGGAGCCUGCGGCUUAAUUUGACUCAACAUGGGGAAACUCACCCGGCCCGGGCACCGUAAGGAUUGACAGAUUGAGAGCUCUUUCUUGAUUCGGUGGGUGGUGGUGCAUGGCCGUUCUUAGUUGGUGGAGCGAUUUGUCUGGUUAAUUCCGAUAACGAACGAGACUCUAGCCUACUAAAUAGUUGGCUCAUAUCGCCAUCUUUCGUGGAUGGCAAUGAGCACAACUUCUUAGAGGGACAGGCGGUAUUUUAGCCGCACGAGAUUGAGCAAUAACAGGUCUGUGAUGCCCUUAGAUGUCCGGGGCCGCACGCGCGCUACACUGAAGGGAUCAACUGGCUAAACUCGCCUCGCUCGAAAGGGCUGGGUAACCCGUUGAAAACCCUUCGUGACAGGGAUUGGGAAUUGCAAUUAUUUCCCAUGAACGAGGAAUUCCUAGUAAGUGCGGGUCAUAAGCUCGCGUUGAUUACGUCCCUGCCCUUUGUACACACCGCCCGUCGCUACUA